rnacentral:lncRNA from 1 species
CCCCAACAGCUGAGAAAAUUAAUGCAAGGUAAAGGGGAUAAAAAUGGAAGAGGGGCCCCUAGAAUCAAUGCUGCUUCUUCCUCUUGCUCAUUUCCAGGCUGCCCUGGGAUCUACUGAAUCACUGGAGUUUUAACUUUCUUGAACUGUGAAAUGGGAAAAUGAUAAUGGAAUCCUGUGUGGUUUUAUUUACUCAUUUGCUAAAACUGAAGUUUAGAUAGUCGUUCCAAACUUUGAUUUGUUUAGAACUUUAACUUGAAAGCAAAGAGAAAAAACAAGAGUGCUUACUGAUUUGACAUUAACAAAAUCGUUGAAAGUUGUCCAAAAUUAUACAGAUUUUAGUGUUUUAGUGGCAUGAAAAAGGGCUUCAAUGAAAAAAAUGUGUGUGUAUAUAUAUAUAUAUAUAUAUAUAUAUAUAUAUAUGUAACAAAAAUACGUAAAGUACAAAAGGCAAUGGGUGGAGACUCUCUGGAGGCCUGGAAUGUAGUUUAGCCUCUAUUGCUCCAUAGCCAUGGAAUCAUACCUCUCUGUGCUGCUCGGUGUCCUUGUCAUAAAAUGAUGCUAAGAGGCCAUCAAUCCUACAGUUAUUUUGCCCCCUGACACUACUACUUUAUCAUUUGAUUUUGAGAACUGAGACAUUUAUUUCUGUUCUGAUUCUUUUUUUUUUUUUUAACUGAUGUUGGACUGUAACAAUUUCCCUUUUUAGAUAUGGAAGUCGUCUUUGCAAAGAAGUGUGGUUCCUGUUUCUGCUCAGGACAGGGGAUGAGUUGGAAAAUCUUAACUUAAGGAGCACCCAGGACUUUGAAGAGGCUUUGAAUAAUUUCUUUGUUGUCAUUGCUUCAUGUUUCACUUCUUUGGGUGAUGCUCUGAAAGCACAUUGGUCAAUAUUCGGGUAAAUAUGUUAAAAUGAUUGAUAACAUGAUAUUGGAAAAUCACCAAAUUAUUUCAAAGGUAAAUGGAAUGUUAGAGUUCCAUGCCAAGAGUUUUACUUAAACAUACUUUUUAUCCUGUCUGAUGCUCUUGAUAUAAUUAACCUGUUAUUGUUAUAAAAACAAAGUUACAUUUUUUCCAAACACCUUCAUGUUCAUUUCAACUUAUCAAAAGGAAAGAGGUAAGUCUUAGAAAACCAUCUUUUAAAAAUAAUGUUGCUUUAAAAUUGUUUCACUUUGUCUAGUUUUUCAAUGUCAUCUUUUGUUUCACAGUAAAGAAAAAAAC